rnacentral:rRNA from 1 species
AAGUAGAUAGUGAAAGCGUUCGGCUCAACCGUACAGGCUAUUACCUAAACUGGCAAACUCGAGAAUGGUAGAGGUAACUGGAAUUUCUUGUGUAGGAGUGAAAUCCGUAGAUAUAAGAAGGAACACCAAUGGCGUAGGCAGGUUACUGGACCAUUUCUGACACUGAGGCACGAAAGCGUGGGGAGCGAACGGGAUUAGAUACCCCGGUAGUCCACGCCGUAAACGAUGGAUACUA